rnacentral:snoRNA from 1 species
AUCCCACGAUGACGAUAGGAGGCGAUGUAUUCCUGCAGCCUUUCCCAUGCUUCCGGGAUCUUCUCAUCUUUUGUCUGCUGGAAGCUGGAUAUUCUUCCAUGAAGGGU